rnacentral:rRNA from 1 species
AUUGAACGCUGGCGGCAUGCCUUACACAUGCAAGUCGAACGGUAACGGGCCUUCGGGUGCCGACGAGUGGCGAACGGGUGAGUAAUACAUCGGAACGUGCCCGAUCGUGGGGGAUAACGAGGCGAAAGCUUUGCUAAUACCGCAUACGAUCUACGGAUGAAAGCAGGGGACCGCAAGGCCUUGCGCGGACGGAGCGGCCGAUGGCAGAUUAGGUAGUUGGUGGGGUAAAAGCUUACCAAGCCGACGAUCUGUAGCUGGUCUGAGAGGAUGAUCAGCCACACUGGGACUGAGACACGGCCCAGACUCCUACGGGAGGCAGCAGUGAGGAAUUUUGGACAAUGGGCGCAAGCCUCAUCCAGCCAUGCCGCGUGCAGGAUGAAGGCCUUCGGGUUGUAAACUGCUUUUGUACGGAACGAAAAGCCUUCUUUUAAUACAGGAGGGUCAUGACGGUACCGUAAGAAUAAGCACCGGCUAACUACGUG